CUACCUUCGGAUGGGGAAUAACAAUCGGAAACGGUUGCUAAUACCGCAUAAUGCAGCGGCACCUAAUGGUGACAGUUGUUAAAGCGGGGGAUCGCAAGACCUCGCGCCUGAAGAGAAGCCCGCGGCAGAUUAGCUAGUUGGUAAGGUAAUGGCUUACCAAGGCAACGAUCUGUAGCCGGCCUGAGAGGGCGGUCGGCCACACUGACACUGAAUAACGGGUCAG
rnacentral:rRNA from 1 species